rnacentral:sRNA from 1 species
GUCGUGAGAUGUUGGGUUAAGUCCCGCAACGAGCGCAACCCUUGUCCUUAGUUGCUACGCAAGAGCACUCUAAGGAGACUGCCGGCGACAAACCGGAGGAAGGUGGGGAUGACGUCAAGUCCUCAUGGCCCUUAUGGGUAGGGCUUCACACGUCAUACAAUGGUCGGAACAGAGGGCUGCGAAUCCGUGAGGUGGAGCGAAUCCCUUGAAAGCCGGUCUCAGUUCGGAUCGGGGUCUGCAACUCGACCCCGUGAAGUCGGAGUCGCUAGUAAUCGCAGAUCAGCAACGCUGCGGUGAAUACGUUCCCGGGCCUUGUACACACCGCCCGUCACGUCAUGAAAGUCGGUAACACCCGAAGCCGGUGGCCUAACCCCUCGUGGGAGGGAGCCGUCGAAGGUGGGAUCGGCGAUUGGGACGAAGUCGUAACAAGGUAGCCGUACCGGAAGGUGCGGCUGGAUCACCUCCUUUCUAAGGAGCACCACGUGUUCUGGGCCGGCCCGCAUCGUGCGGAUCAGCCGAGUCUCAGACGAUUCGUGAGAUGGACCCCUUUUGCCUGUAGUGGGCGGGGUUCUGGUGCACAUGGCAACGAUGCUGCGACCCUCGAGCGAGGCUCUCAUCCUGUGGGUGUGGGUGUCGGGUCGCGAUAAUGAGAUCAUCAAACACACUGUUGGGUCCUGAGACAACAGGCCCGUGGUUCCUGGUCUGCGGAUCGGGAGGCGUGUUGUUGCCUCACUUGGUGGUGGGGUGUGGUGUUUGAUUCGUGGAUAGUGGUUGCGAGCAUCAAGCUGGCAUCGUGUGGGUUCGGGUUCCCUGUGGGGGGUGUUCGGGCCUUAUGUGGUGUUGGUUUGUUGUGGUGUAAUUUUCUCUGAAUUGUUUUUUGGUUUUUGUGUUUUUUGUGUUGUAAGUGUUUAAGGGCGCAUGGUGGAUGCCUUGGCAUCAGAGGCCGAUGAAGGACGUGGGAGGCUGCGAUAUGCCUCGGGGAGCUGCCAACCGAGCGUGGAUCCGAGGAUGU